UUAAGUCCGUAACGAGCGCAACCCUUGUCCUAGUUACCAGCACGUUAUGGUGGGCACUCUAAGGAGACUGCCGGUGACAACCGAGGAAGGUGGGGAUGACGUCAAGUCAUCAUGGCCCUUACGGCCUGGGCUACACACGUGCUACAAUGGUCGGUACAAAGGGUUGCCAAGCCGCGAGGUGGAGCUAAUCCCAUAAAACCGAUCGUAGUCCGGAUCGCAGUCUGCAACUCGACUGCGUGAAGUCGGAAUCGCUAGUAAUCGUGAAUCAGAAUGUCACGGUGAAUACGUUCCCGGGCCUU
rnacentral:rRNA from 1 species